UGUGAGAGUGCUCGAAAGAGAACUUGAACACAGGUGCUGCAUGGCCGUCGUCAGCUCGUGUCGUGAGAUGUUGGGUUAAGUCCCGCAACGAGCGCAACCCUUGUCAUUAGUUGCUACGAAAGGGCACUCUAAUGAGACUGCCGGUGACAAACCGGAGGAAGGUGGGGAUGACGUCAGGUCCUCAUGGCCCUUAUGGGUAGGGCUACACACGUCAUACAAUGGCCGGGACAGAGGGCAGCCAACCCGCGAGGGGGAGCCAAUCCCAGAAACCCGGUCGUAGUCCGGAUCGCAGUCUGCAACUCGACUGCGUGAAGUCGGAAUCGCUAGUAAUCGCGGAUCAGCUUGCCGCGGUGAAUACGUUCCCGGGUCUUGUACACACCGCCCGUCACACCAUGGGAGCGGGUUCUGCCAGAAGUAGUUAGCCUAACCGCAAGGAGGGCGAUUACCACGGCAGGGUUCGUGACUGGGGUGAAGUCGUAACAAGGUAGCCGUAUCGGAAGGUGCGGCUGGAUCACCUCCUUUAUG
rnacentral:rRNA from 1 species